AUGGCCCUGAGCUCCACAAAAUUCGUCGCAAUUAACCAGCUCUCGCGUUGGAUCCAGCAAGAAUCGAGCCGCAGCCCCCUCUGCAUCUCGGAUUCCUGCUCCUCUGUCACGAGCGACGGCCGCGAGCACCAGCGGGACCUGGAUGAGGUAGGCGACCCCAUCAAUGCAGUCGUCCUGGAGUGCGCGCACGGCGUCCUCGGCGCGUGGCGGAAGGGCGCUCCUCAGCCGGGGGCGGGACGGGCGGCGUCCUCUGCUUUCCCCUCGGUGGACCCCACAGUCUCACUCAUGAUGUUAUCGUUACCAAUUGUCGCCGUUACAUGUAAAAUGUUAAGUGUUGCCACCUCAGCCUGA
rnacentral:rRNA from 1 species